AAAUCGUACCCCAAACCGACACAGGUGGUCAGGUAGAGAAUACCAAGGCGCUUGAGAGAACUCGGGUGAAGGAACUAGGCAAAAUGGUGCCGUAACUUCGGGAGAAGGCACGCUGAUAUGUAGGUGAAGUCCCUCGCGGAUGGAGCUGAAAUCAGUCGAAGAUACCAGCUGGCUGCAACUGUUUAUUAAAAACACAGCACUGUGCAAACACGAAAGUGGACGUAUACGGUGUGACGCCUGCCCGGUGCCGGAAGGUUAAUUG
rnacentral:rRNA from 1 species